rnacentral:rRNA from 1 species
UACGAAGGGGGCUAGCGUUGCUCGGAAUCACUGGGCGUAAAGGGUGCGUAGGCGGGUCUUUAAGUCAGGGGUGAAAUCCUGGAGCUCAACUCCAGAACUGCCUUUGAUACUGAAGAUCUUGAGUUCGGGAGAGGUGAGUGGAACUGCGAGUGUAGAGGUGAAAUUCGUAGAUAUUCGCAAGAACACCAGUGGCGAAGGCGGCUCACUGGCCCGAUACUGACGCUGAGGCACGAAAGCGUGGGGAGCAGA